rnacentral:siRNA from 1 species
AUGUACUUUGGAUUGAUGUUUAUU